rnacentral:rRNA from 1 species
CUUGCUCCUGGUGGCGAGUGGCGGACGGGUGAGUAAUAUAUCGGAACGUAUCCAAUAAUGGGGGAUAACUAUCCGAAAGGAUAGCUAAUACCGCAUACGCCCUGAGGGGGAAAGCUAGGGAUCUUCGGACCUGGCGUUAAUGGAGCGGCCGAUAGCUGAUUAGCUAGUUGGUGAGGUAAAGGCUCACCAAGGCGACGAUCAGUAGCUGGUCUGAGAGGACGACCAGCCAUACUGGAACUGAGACACGGUCCAGACUCCUACGGGAGGCAGCAGUGGGGAAUUUUGGACAAUGGGGGCAACCCUGAUCCAGCCAUUCCGCGUGAGUGAAGAAGGCCUUCGGGUUGUAAAGCUCUUUCGCAAGGGAAGAAAACUUAGUCUCUAACAUAGACUGAGGUUGACGGUACCUUGAUAAGAAGCACCGGCUAACUACGUGCCAGCAGCCGCGGUAAUACGUAGGGUGCGAGCGUUAAUCGGAAUUACUGGGCGUAAAGCGUGCGCAGGCGGUUUUGUAAGUCAGAUGUGAAAUCCCCGAGCUCAACUUGGGAACUGCGUUUGAAACUACAAGACUAGAAUAUGCCAGAGGGGGGUAGAACUCCACGUGUAGCAGUGUAAUGCGUAGAGAUGUGGAGGAAUACCAAUGGCGAAGGCAGCCCCCUGGGAUAAUAUUGACGCUCAUGCACGAAAGCGUGGGGAGCAAACAGGAUUAGAUACCCUGGUAGUCCACGCCCUAAACGAUGUCUACUAGUUGUUGGUGGAGUAAAAUCCAUGAGUAACGCAGCUAACGCGUGAAGUAGACCGCCUGGGGAGUACGGUCGCAAGAUUAAAACUCAAAUGAAUUGACGGGGGCCCGCACAAGCGGUGGAUUAUGUGGAUUAAUUCGAUGC